rnacentral:sRNA from 1 species
GUCUGCCAGCAGCAGCAGCAGCUGCUGCUGCUGCAGCAGGUGCAGCUGCAGCAGCAGCAGGUGCAGCUGCAGCAGCAGUUGCAGCAGCAGGAGUUGCAGCAUCAGCUGCAGCAGCAGUUGCAGCAGCCGCUGCAGCAGCAGCUGCAGCAGCAGUUGCAGCAGCAGUUGCAGCAGCAGUUGCAGCAGCAGCUGCAGCAGCAGCAGUUGCAGCAGUUGCAGCAGCAGCUGCAGCAGCAGCUGCAGCAGUUGCUGUUGCUGCUGCUGCAGCGAGAUUUGUCU